UACGGCAAUAUCCCGUUCAAACACUAUUUCUCAUGCAAUCACCGGAAUUAAGCAACGUUGAGCCUGCUCAGUACUUAGAUGGGUGACUGCUUGGGAAUACCAGGUGCUGCG